AGAGACUUAGGCUAAUUAAGACCCAGGACCUUCAAAGUCCUAAGCGAGGGUUAAAAUCCCUCAGCCUCUA
rnacentral:tRNA from 1 species